GACAGAGGGUGCAAGCGUUGUUCGGAAUUACUGGGCGUAAAGGGCUCGUAGGUGGCCAACUAAGUCAGACGUGAAAUCCCCAGGCUCAACUUGGGAACUGCGUCUGAUACUGGAUGGCUUGAAUUCGGGAGAGGGAUGCAGAAUUCCAGGUGUAACGGUGAAAUGCGUAGAUAUCUGGAGGAAUACCGGUGGCGAAGGCGGCAUCCUGGACCGAGAUUGACACUGAUGAGCGAAAGCCAGGGGAGCAAACGGG
rnacentral:rRNA from 1 species